rnacentral:tRNA from 1 species
GAGGAGGUUAGCUCAAUGGUAGAGCAACAGGCUGAAAUACCUGUGGGUUGCCGGUUCGAGUCCGGUACCGCCUCU